UACGUAGGGGGCAAGCGUUGUCCGGAAUUAUUGGGCGUAAAGCGCGCGCAGGCGGUUCUUUAAGUCUGGUGUUUAAACCCGAGGCUCAACUUCGGGUCGCACUGGAAACUGGGGGACUUGAGUGCAGAAGAGGAGAGUGGAAUUCCACGUGUAGCGGUGAAAUGCGUAGAUAUGUGGAGGAACACCAGUGGCGAAGGCGGGUUGCUGGGCCGACACUGACGCUGAGGCGCGAAAGCCAGGGGAGCGAACGGG
rnacentral:rRNA from 1 species